GACAGAGGUGCCGAGCGUUAGGCGGAAUCACUGGGCUUAAAGCGUGUGUAGGCGGGUCGUUAAGUGUCUUGUGAAAUCCCACCGCUCAACGGUGGAACCGCUGGGCAUACUGGCGACCUUGAGCAGUCCAGGGGCGAGCGGAACAAGCGGUGGAGCGGUGAAAUGCGUAGAUAUCACUUGGAACGCCAAUGGUGAAAACAGACUGCUGGGGGUGUGCUGACGCUGAGACACGAAAGCCAGGGGAGCAAACGGG
rnacentral:rRNA from 1 species